rnacentral:rRNA from 1 species
UACGUAGGGUGCGAGCGUUAAUCGGAAUUACUGGGCGUAAAGCGUGCGCAGGCGGUGAUGUAAGACCGAUGUGAAAUCCCCGGGCUUAACCUGGGAACUGCAUUGGUGACUGCAUUGCUGGAGUAUGGCAGAGGGGGGGUGGAAUUCCACGUGUAGCAGUGAAAUGCGUAGAGAUGUGGAGGAACACCGAUGGCGAAGGCAGCCCCCUGGGCCAAUACUGACGCCUCAUGCACGAAAGCGUGGGGAGCAAACAGG